GUCCAGGCAGCCAGAACACCAAUAUGAAGAUUCAAAGGAGACAAAACCCUCCUAAGAACUGAUUCAAGAUCAUGGUUCCAAGGCAAUUCCAUGCACAGGAUGGCAGUGAAACGUGGGGGCUACAGGCUUCGGCUGUGGCUGCAGAUUCCCUGAGCAAGGUCCUCCUUGGCGGAAUUGUGCCUGGAGCUGGUGUAUGGGGACAUCCCAGGAGGGAACAGACCACCCCUGCUGGAGUGCUGGAAGAUGAUGUCUGUCACUCUCUCUCCAUGAAGAAUUGAUAGUGCACAAGGAGUCCAUGCCUGUCCUUUCUUUCAGGUGUCAUAAUCACCUGGGGCCACAGGAACCUUCACUUGUUUAACAUAACUUUGUCAAGAAUGCUUGCACCUACACAGGACAGACACCUGACCAAUCUUUAUUGGAAAACAUUGUGGAAACAGUCAUGACCUUUUCUUCAUAGAAACCUGCCUGAGGACUAGUGAUCGAAGAACACUGGAAGUUUCUUGACUUUUUU